GGGAGCGUGUUGCAGCGGAGCAUGCCGGUCUCCAAAACCGCGCGGUUCGGGUUCGACUCCUGACGCUCCCG
rnacentral:tRNA from 1 species